CGGAGGAAAAGAAACCAACAGGGAUUGCCCUAGUAACGGCGAGUGAAGCGGCAACAGCUCAAAUUUGAAAUCUGGCUCCGGCCCGAGUUGUAAUUUGCAGAGGAAGCAUUUGGUGCGGUAUUCUCCGAGUCCCCUGGAAUGGGGCGCCAGAGAGGGUGAGAGCCCCGUAGGAUUGAAUACCUAGCCUGUGUGAAGCUCCUUCGACGAGUCGAGUAGUUUGGGAAUGCUGCUCUAAAUGGGAGGUAAAUUCCUUCUAAAGCUAAAUAUUGGCCAGAGACCGAUAGCGCACAAGUAGAGUGAUCGAAAGAUGAAAAGCACUUUGAAAAGAGGGUUAAAUAGCACGUGAAAUUGUUGAAAGGGAAGCGCCUGUGACCAGACUUGCGCCCAGCGGAUCAUCCGGUGUUCUCACCGGUGCACUCCGCUUGGCUCAGGCCAGCAUCGGUUCUGGUGGGGGGAUAAAGGUUCCGGGAAUGUAGCUCUUUCGGGAGUGUUAUAGCCCGGGGCGCAAUGCCCUCGCCGGGACCGAGGACCGCGCGAAAGCAAGGAUGCUGGCGUAAUGGUCACCAGCGACCCGUCUUGAAACACGGACCAAGGAGUCAAGGUUUUGCGCGAGUGUUUGGGUGUCAAACCCGCACGCGUAAUGAAAGUGAACGUAGGUGAGAGCUUCGGCGCAUCAUCGACCGAUCCUGAUGUACUCGGAUGGAUUUGAGUAGGAGCGUUAAGCCUUGGACCCGAAAGAUGGUGAACUAUGCUUGGAUAGGGUGAAGCCAGAGGAAACUCUGGUGGAGGCUCGCAGCGGUUCUGACGUGCAAAUCGAUCGUCAAAUCUGAGCAUGGGGGCGAAAGACUAAUCGAACCAUCUAGUAGCUGGUUACCGCCGAAGUUUCCCUCAGGAUAGCAGUGUUGUUCUUCAGUUUUAUGAGGUAAAGCGAAUGAUUAGGGACUCGGGGGCGAUUUUUAGCCUUCAUCCAUUCUCAAACUUUAAAUAUGUAAGAAGCCCUUGUUACUUAGUUGAACGUGGGCCUUCGAAUGUAUCAACACUAGUGGGCCAUUUUUGGUAAGCAGAACUGGCGAUGCGGGAUGAACCGAACGCGAGGUUAAGGUGCCGGAGUGGACGCUCAUCAGACACCACAAAAGGCGUUAGUACAUCUUGACAGCAGGACGGUGGCCAUGGAAGUCGGAAUCCGCUAAGGACUGUGUAACAACUCACCUGCCGAAUGUACUAGCCCUGAAAAUGGAUGGCGCUCAAGCGUCCCACCCAUACCUCGCCCUCAGGGUAGGAUCUAUGCCCUGAGGAGUAGGCGGCCGUGGGGGUUGUGACGAAGCCUAGGGCGUGAGCCCGGGUCGAACAGCC
rnacentral:rRNA from 2 species